UACGGAGGAUCCAAGCGUUAUCCGGAAUCAUUGGGUUUAAAGGGUCCGGUAGGCGGUUUUGGUAAGUCAGUGGUGAAAGCCCAUCGCUCAACGGUGGAAACGGCCAUUGAUACUGCAAGACUUGAAUUACUAGGAAGUAACUAGAAUAUGUAGUGAUAGCGGUGGAAAUGUUAGUAUUACAAUGGAAUACCAAUUGCGUAAGCAGGUUAACUACGUAGUUGAUUGACGCUGAUGGACGAAAGCGUGGGAGCGAACA
rnacentral:rRNA from 1 species